CUAUGCGCCUUGCCAGCCCGCUCAGGUGUGCCAGCCGCCGCGGUAAUACGUAGGUGGCAAGCGUUAUCCGGAUUUAUUGGGUCGUAAAGCGAGCGCAGGCGGUUGCUUAGGUCUGAUGUGAAAGCCUUCGGCUUAACCGAAGAAGUGCAUCGGAAACCGGGCGACUUGAGUGCAGAAGAGGACAGUGGAACCCCAUGUGUAGCGGUGGAAUGCGUAGAUAUAUGGAAGAACACCAGUGGCGAAGGCGGCUGUCUGGUCUGCAACUGACGCUGAGGCUCGAAAGCAUGGGUAGCGAACAGG
rnacentral:rRNA from 1 species